ensembl:lncRNA
CUGUUUUUUAAGAGAAGCAAUGUGCUUAAUAUUAGGAAAGUUGAGAAAUAAAUAUAGGAGGUAUGUCUCAGGUAAGACCCAAAUGCAAACUGUGUUGAAAUAACAAUGUUGAUUACAGCAACAGGGGCAGGCAAACGACAGGUCAAGGCAGGCCGGGUCGAUAAUCCAGAGUGGUGGGGCAAAGCUACAGGAGAGCAGGCAGGGUCAGGUCAGGCAGAGGUCGGUAAUCCAGAGUGGUGGGGAAAAGGUACAGGACAGCAGGCAGGGUCAGGUCAGGCAGAGGUCGGUAAUCCAGAGUGGUGGGGAAAAGGUACAGGACAGCAGGCAGGGUCAGGUCAGGCAGAGGUCGGUAAUCCAGAGUGGUGGGGAAAAGGUACAGGACGGCAGGCAGGGUCAGGUCAGGCAGAGGUCGGUAAUCCAGAGUGGUGGGGAAAAGGUACAGGACGGCAGGCAGGGUCAGGUCAGGCAGAGGUCGGUAAUCCAGAGUAGGGGCAAAGGUAGAGGACGACAGGCAGGGUCAGGUCAGGC